GUUUUGUGUAUCAAAUCAUGGUUAUUAAUUUUAUAUUAGUUUUACAGAUUUAACAUGAUGACCUACCAACAUUAACAUAUUUCAGACAAUUGAGUCAAGAAACUGGCACCAUAAAAAAGCCUUUUGAAAUUAUGUGUGGAGUGUGACUGCAUGUAAAGGGAUGCAUGGAUGGUCUGUCCCGAAUCGGAACCAGUGACGCAUGUUCAUGAAAAGAAACCAUAUUGAUCAUUUUAUUAUCUAUUACUAUCUAUUAUUUAUCUUUUAAUGCAACUGUCUUUUAGAAACCUUUCCCAGUCACUAAAUCCUGGCAACUGGACAGAGAAAACUGGAUUACAAAUUCAGGGUUUUCCUAUGACAACCGUACGGGAUUGACUGUGGCAUCUUCAUGUUGAUGAAUGCCCUUUACAUCACACUGGAUGCUCCCUAUGACUUUUCUAUUGUAAGUUGAUUCAUGCAAUCAAAGUAAGCUCAAAAUUACAACAACAAAACAUUUAUUAUGACAUAGUGUGAGUUUUUUUUUCUUUUUGUUUAUUUAUUUUUUUCAGAUGGACAUGCCACUUUUGCGACAGUGGUGGUGUAUCAUCCUUAUGGAAAAUUUUGACCUUGGAAGCCAUGGAAAGCUGUUCGCCCACUGGACAGAUGCAUCAAAAGCCCUCCUGCGAAGUGAGGUGCCACCAGUAUUUAGGCUGAUGAAAAGGAAGGUGGAUGACACAACUGAGGAAGAAGAGCAGCAGGCUGAGGUCUCCGUCAGACCUGCCGACGUGGACACACAAGUGGAAGGGGUAAGCUUUUUCACAGUAUCUAUUGGUCAG
rnacentral:lncRNA from 1 species